GACGAACGCUGGCGGCGUGCCUAAUACAUGCAAGUCGAGCGAAUCUUUAAGAGCUUGCUUUUGAAGAUUAGCGGCGGACGGGUGAGUAACACGUGGGCAACCUGCCUGUAAGACUGGGAUAACUUCGGGAAACCGGAGCUAAUACCGGAUAAUCUGUUCCCUCGCAUGAGGGAAUUCUAAAAGACGGCGCAAGCUGUCACUUACAGAUGGGCCCGCGGCGCAUUAGCUAGUUGGUGAGGUAACGGCUCACCAAGGCGACGAUGCGUAGCCGACCUGAGAGGGUGAUCGGCCACACUGGGACUGAGACACGGCCCAGACUCCUACGGGUGGCAG
rnacentral:rRNA from 1 species